GUAUCACGAGCUACACCAACGGCGCUCGUGCUCAAACAAAGAAGCUUUUACCCGUUCGCGUCGCCGUUGAUCUGCUUCUUCUCGGCGCCGCCGCUGGCCUCAGAUGCAUAUCCGCCCCGACGCCGGUCUUGCCCCGAUGCGCCAAACUGCCGCCCGCCGAUCCCCGCCUGCCGGAGCGCCCACCAGCAACGGCGCCGGCACCGGCGCGGUUGUUGCACUGGCGGCCGUGGACGAGGCAGCCACCGCCGGUGGGGCGCAGGUGCCCGUGGCGCCCUACAUUAAGCGGCACCGCAGCCACAUCGUCCGCGUCGACGUCCGACUGCGCUGCCCGACGCCGCGGCCCGUGGGGACUGCGCCCCACCGUGGCACCUGGUCGACGGCCUCCGCCCCAACGCUGUGCCACAGCCCGUCGUGCGGCCUGGCCGCCGCGCAGCAUGGCUGAACUUCCCCACCACCGGCGAGGACAGAGGCAGCACGUCCCUCGCACACUGCCGCCAGACAUUAAAGUGAGCUGAGGUAUGCAUGCAUGUUGUUUGAUGAAAUGUCUAGGAAAACCAAAUCUUCAGCUAGUUGUCUAAGUGAAUGAAGUGCUCUGUUCCAUUGCAUUAGAAACAAAAAGAGAAAAAAAUGGCACGUUUCUUCUUACAGCUUGGAAUCAUCUGCCGCGUAUGAUGACUAACUGACGUGAGGCAGGCCAAUCUUAGAUAGAAUCAUAAGUAUUACACUGCUACUGAGUUCUGAAGCAAUGACAGAAAACUGUAUCUGAAAUUGGACAUGUAUCUUGUUGAAUUAAUUGAUUACCUCAACAUUUAACAUCAAUGAUUUCAAUUGUGCUGGCCCAAUCAGCAAUGCGGGAUCUCUGAUGACACAUGUACUACGUACCUCCUUCCAGCUCGUUUUGAUUCUUCAUAUGAGGAGGUAUGAUUUAGGAUGAAAGUGCCAACUUACUGAACUACGUUUGAAUUGCUCUCAUUUAACUUUGAAGUGCUUCAUGCUUUAUAAUCUUGUGAUCAUGAGCUGGCAAAUUGGCCAGUAGUUGAAGUGCUAAAUAACUUAUGAACUAUCCUUCUGAAUGGAGGAAUAAUGGCUGAAGCGACUAUCACAUCAUGGCAGAUGAAAGUAGUGGAGAAACUCAUCAGUGUGGCACCGAGAUCGAUUUAGGAUAACUGUAAAGUAGAGCAAACUAGCCACACAUCCUGAAGGAUUACUGUGCUCGAGAUGCUCUCUGAGGCCUCAACAAUUAUAUUAACGAUCCCAGCUUUGAAGAUCAGCUCGAUCUCUGCGCCUUGGGGCUUAUAAGCUAAUUGAGUUUAGAGAAACGGGAGAUGUGUUGGCUCUCAACCAUAUGUAUGACAACACAGCUAGAGUUGGAUAUUUGCACUAUGUCAUGGAACUUGUGACAGAUGUGAAUUAACUCCUAUAGAACUUGUAAGACUUCUGGUGUGGACUUGUGUCACUUGUAAUAACAUUUGAUACAUUUUAGUCUGAGAUUGAUUUAUAUUUGAUGUAUGUACGUGUGAAUCAUAUUAUAUCUUUGAAA